AUCUUCCUAGUAUAAUCGCGAGUAUAAGUGACUUCCAAUCACCCGGCCUUGGUUCAAACCCAAGGGAAGAUA